UGCUUUGCUGAUUAAAUCAAGUGUCAACCUCCUUGCCUCCUCCCUCCCUCCCUUGUUUCCUUCAUCUCCUUGGUUUCCAUUACUUCUCCACUUAGAGCUUCAAGUGUGAGAAUCAUUACGGAGCACUGUAGCGACGGUGAUCAAGCCGGGGAAGAGAUCAUCGCCGCCAGCUUGUCGGCAAACCUAGAGGACCACUUGAGAAGUGACUUUGGGUCUUCGCAUUGUGUCUUGGAGUAUAGUAUUUUCGAGAUUAAGAGUGAUAGACUGGCGUGGAUCUUGAAUGAUUGGCUGUAGAUGUUGUCUUGUCCUGUUGUAAAUUUUAAGUUCAUAUUAUUGUUUAUCCAUGUAUUCCCGUAUUUUAUAUUUUGAACUUCUAUAUCCCGGUACUAUGUACUUUGUAGAGUUUGAAAUUAUGUAACCCAGUUGGUUUGUUAUAGUUUUGUUUAUCCUAAACCAGGUCCUGAGGCCUUGCAGGUCUACUUGGUUCACGCCCUGUGGAUCUGCGGCCGUUUGUCUGC